rnacentral:misc_RNA from 1 species
GGACCCAACCCAAGCUACUGCUAUUUUUGGCAUGGUAAUUGAGUUAGCAAGAUUAGGCAGGAUUUUGUCAAUGUGAAGUCAUUAUGUAAUAAAUCAAGAUUGUUGAUGUAGACAACUUUUUUAUUGGAUAAGAGAAAUCAUAAAACCCACAAUAACUUUGGCUAGGGAAAUCGUGCUAGGUUCCUAUCCAUUAUGCUAUGGAUAUUGUCUUUUCCAUGUUAAUUUUCACCGAGAGAUUGCAG